rnacentral:rRNA from 1 species
AGGAUUCGAGCGUUAUCCGGAUUUAUUGGGUUUAAAGGGAGCGUAGGCGGGACGUUAAGUCAGUUGUGAAAGUUUGCGGCUCAACCGUAAAAUUGCAGUUGAUACUGGCGUCCUUGAGUGCGGCAGAGGCAGGCGGAAUUCGUGGUGUAGCGGUGAAAUGCUUAGAUAUCACGAAGAACUCCGAUUGCGAAGGCAGCUUGCUGGACCGUAACUGACGCUGAGGCACGAAAGCGUGGGUAUCGA